rnacentral:lncRNA from 1 species
UUUAAUUUCAUGGCACCUGCGUAUUAACAUGUUCUUGUGUGAUCACCAUGGCAACUAAGUAGUGACACAUAUCAUGUGACUCAGAAGUGCUUACAUUUUUCUUAAAUGAAUAAACAGCUCCAUGGAAAUGCCUAACUUCAACAAGCUGGAACAAUGCAAUGCCCCUGUGUGUCCAUAAUGGACAUGCUGGUAAACGGCACUAAUACCUACUCCCGUCUGCUUUCCUCAUCACUUUUCAAUGUGCUCUCUUUCCUGCAGACAGAAUCCAUUUUUGCCUUCCCCAAGGAGACAAUCCAAUAACUCCAUCUCACCACCACUUCACACUCAGAGUCCACGAUGAAGCAUACUUCAGAUCCAAAUUUGGCUUUUCUUGGUCCAGAGUCAUAUGACACAAGGUUCAUAAAGUGCUUACUGCCUGGCCAAAAGCAAAUUCAUGAUGACUAGCAGUGAGUGAUAAGAGGUUAACAACAGCAGUGACAGUAGCAUCUUACCAAUCGUCUUAUCACAUCAACAAUAUCUUCUUUACCAGGACAUUUUUAUAGCCCAGGACAUCCAUUGUUUUGAUAGUUCACGAUCCAGUGCUCCUUCUUGGGGAAUUCACCUCUUCUUAUCUCAGUCCGUAUGAUUUAUAGGGGAUUUCUCCCAUCCUUCAACCACUAAGGACAGGCGUAUAACGAAGGCCUUAACAAUCAAUUUAUUCUAUUUUACCAGUCACAGAGGUAGGUUCAGGGAUGGGUACAUUACUUAAGUUGGUCCAGGAAGACUCAGUCUUAGGACUUGCACUGGAAAGGGGGGAAAACCCACUUCUUUUUCUCUGUUAAGGUUGCUGAGAGAAUAAGAUGAAAAAUCCACAUCUGCUGAAGGUCAGCAUAUGACCAAAGUGAGCGCCUUCCAGGAAUGCUGCCAGUGCAGAAGGAGAGCCCAGCAGUGAAAUUUUUACGAACCCCAAGAUCAGAAAGAUUUUCUCCUAUGCUGUUUACCAGAGAUGUUAUGGUUUUUGGUCUUACAUUUAAGGCUGUGAUUCAUUUCAAAUUAAAUUUUGUAUAUGGUAUGUAUAAAGGUAAGGCCUGCCUGCCUUCCCUCCCUCCUCCCUUCCUCCCUUCCUUCCUUCCUUCCUCCCUUCCUCUCUUCCUCCCUUCUUCCCUCCUUACUUUCUUUCCUUCUGUUCUUUCAUUCUUUCUUUCUUCAUACGGGUGUCCAACUGUUCCAGCAACACUUAUUGACAAGACAAUCCCUUCCCAGUUGAAUUGCCUUGCCAUCUUUGCUGAAAAUCAAUUGAAUGUAUAAGUGUGGGCCUAUUUCUCGAUAUUCUAUUAUGUCCCAUUGAUCUAAGCUUAUUCCAAUACCACACUCUUGAUUCUGUAGUUUUAGCAUCUUCAUUCAGGUAGUGUAAAUCUUCCAAGAUGGGUUUUUGUCUUGUAAAGUUGUUUUGGUUAUUCUGGGUCCUCUGCAUUUCUAUAUACAUUUUAGGAUUAGCAUGUUAAUUUCUACAAAAAGGCCUGCUGGAUUUUCAUAUGUAAUGGUGGAUUACAUAAAUCUACAAUUCAAUUUGGGGAUAAGUGACAUCUCAACAAUACUGAGUCUAUCCAUAGUCUAUCCUUCCAUUUAAGCCUUCUUUAGUUUCUUUCAGCAAUGUUUUCUAGUUUUAAGAAUACAUACUUGACACAACUUUCAUUAAAUGCAUUUUUAAGUAUUUAUGUUAUUACAAAUGGAACUUUAAAAAAUUAUUGUUGAUAUAUAAAAAUAGAAUUAAUUUUUGUUCAGUUUUAAUAAUUUGUGUCUCUGAAGGAAUUUGUCCAUUUCAUUUAUGUUGUCAAAUUUAUUGGUAUGAACUUAUCAUAAUGUUCCCUAAAUUAUCCUUUUAAUGUCUGUAAGGUGUAUAAUAAUGUUCCUCUUUCAUUCCUAAUAUUGGUAAUUGUCUUCUUCCAUUUCUUCUUGAUCAGUUUAGCUACAUAUUUUCAGCUGUAUUAAUCUUUUCCAAGAAAUCGGUUUUGGUUUUAUUGAUUGUCUUUUUUGCUUUUGUAGUUUCUAUUUCUUUGGUUUCUACUGUUAUCUUUAUUGUUUCCUGUCUUUUACUUGCUAUGGGUUUAAUUUAUUCUUAUUUUUGUGGUAUCUUAGGGUGGAAACUUAGAGCAUUGAUUUGAGAUCUUUCUUAUUUUCUAAUAUAAGUAAUGGAACCUGUAAAUUUCCCUCCAAGUGCUGAUUUAGCUACACCGUACACAUUUUGAUAAUGAUGUUUUUAAAAUUUUUAUUGUGUUCAAAAUAUUUUCUAUUUUUUUGUAUUUGUUCCAUGACUCAAUAGCUAUUUAGAGGUAUUGUAUUAGUCCAUUUUCACACUGCUGAUAAAGACAUACCGAAGACUGGGCAAUUUACAAAAGAAAGAGGUUUAAUGAACUUACAGUUCCACAUGGCUGGGGAGGCCUCAUAAUCAUGGCAGAAGGCAAGGAGGAGCAAGUCACGUCUCACAUGGAUGGCAUCCAGCAAAAAGGGAGAGAACUUGUGCAGGGGAACUCCUCUUUAUAAAAACAUCAGAUCUUGUGAGAUUAAUUCACUAUCACAAGAACAGCAGGGAAAGACUUCCCCCCCAUGAUUCAAUUACCUCCCACUGGGUUUCUCCCACAACACAUGGGAAUUCAAGAUGACAUUUGCCAUUGCAACACCCAGAAUUUGAGGAUGAGAUAUAAGUGUCUGUUUUCAGGAAAAAAACAUACAUUGUUUAUAAAACAUAAUACAAUAAAGCACAUUUAAUAUGGUAAAUAAGAUUGGAUCUUAUAACAAAUUUUCUCCAUAUUAAUGCAUGAGACUCAAUGCAGGGCAUGUUCCUCAAAAGCAAAUUCUACUUUAUCUAUUUUAAAUUCCAUUUUAGGUCUUUGAGGAAUUGCCGCACUGUCUUCCACAAUGGUUGAACUAAUUUACACUCCUGCCAACUGUGUAAAAGCGUUCCUUUUUCUCCGCAACCUCACCAGCAUCUGUUGAAAUACCAUUUAACCCAGCAAUCCCAUUACUGGUUAUAUACCCAAAGGAAUAUACAUCUUUCUAUUAUAAAGAUACAUGCACUCGUGUGUUCAUUGUAACACUAUUCACAAUAGCAAAGAUGUGGAAUCAACUUAAAUGCCUCUUCAUGAUAGACUGGAUGGAGAAAAUGUGGUACAUAUACACCAUGGAAUACCGUGCAGCCAUAAAAAGGAAUGAGAUCAUGUCCUUUGCAGGGACAUGGAUGGAGUUGGAAGCCAUUAUCAUCAGCAAACUAACACAGGGACAGAAAACCAAACACUGCAUGGGAGCUGAAUGAUGAGAACACAUGGACAUAUGGUGGGGAACAACACACACUGGGGCCUGUUGGUGGGGGAGGGGGAGGGAGAGCAUCAGGAAUAAUGCUAAUGGAUGCUGGGCUUAACACCUAGGUGAUGGGUUGAUCUGUGCAGCAAACCACCAUGGCACAUGUUUACCUAUGUUACAAACCUGCACAUCCUGUGCAUGUACUCCUGAACUUAAGAUAAAAGUUGAAGGAAAAAAAAUUCCAUUUUAAAUUUGGUUAAAUUGUCAUGAGUACAAUCAGUGUUACAAAAGGCUUUUCAUACAAGGACAGAAUUCAUGAAUUAGUCUCCAAAUCUAUCUCACAGGUAAAAGUGUUUUUUGUUGUAAAUUGAAGAGAGAUUUUCAUGACACUUGAGAAAUGGAGACCAAGAAGCCAGAAUAAUCUGUUCUCUUCCUUGAGGUAAGAACUUGCUGUUCAUGUUUACUUCUUCUGCAGUUUGUUCCAACUGGUUGACCCUGAGGUACUUGGGAAUAUCUUAUUUAGCCUUUUCUUUCUUUCUUUCUUUUUUGAGAUGGAGUCUUGCUCUGUCAUCCAGUCUGGAGUGCAGUGGCAUGGUCUUGGCUCACUGCAAGCUCUGCCUCCCGGGUUCACGCCAUUCUCCUGCCUCAGCCUCCUGAGUAGCUGGUAUUACAGGAGCCCACCACCAUGCCCGGCUAAUUUUUUGUAUUUUUUUUUAGUAGAGACGUGGUUUCACCGUGUUAGCCAGGAUGGUCUCAAUCUCCUGACCUCAUGAUCCACCCGCCUUGGCCUCCCAAAGUGCUGGGAUUACAAGCAUGAGCCACCGUGCCUGGCCAUUUAGCCUUUUCUUUACCAGUGCACCUUACUUCCUUUCAGUACAAUUUAUCUCUUUUUUUUUUUUUUUUUUUUUUUUUCUGAGAGUCUCGCUCUGUCACCCAGACUGGAGUGCAGUGGCGUGGUAUUGGCUCACUGCAACCUCCGCCUCC